rnacentral:rRNA from 1 species
UACGUAGGGGGCUAGCGUUGUCCGGAAUCAUUGGGCGUAAGCGCGCGUAGGCGGCCGGUAAGUCCGCUGUAAAAGUCCAGGGCUCAACCCUGGAACGCCGGUGGAUACUGUCGGGCUAGAGUCCGGAAGAGGCGAGUGGAAUUCCUGGUGUAGCGGUGGAAGUGCGCAGAUAUCAGGAGGAACACCGAUGGCGAAGGCAGCUCGCUGGGACGGUACUGACGCUGAGGCGCGAAAGCG